AGUGAACGCUGGCGGUAGGCCUAACACAUGCAAGUCGAACGGCAGCACAGUAAGAGCUUGCUCUUACGGGUGGCGAGUGGCGGACGGGUGAGGAAUACAUCGGAAUCUACUUUUUCGUGGGGGAUAACGUAGGGAAACUUACGCUAAUACCGCAUACGACCUACGGGUGAAAGCAGGGGAUCUUCGGACCUUGCGCGAUUGAAUGAGCCGAUGUCGGAUUAGCUAGUUGUCGGGGUAAAGGCCCACCAAGGCGACGAUCCGUAGCUGGUCUGAGAGGAUGAUCAGCCACACUGGAACUGAGACACGGUCCAGACUCCUACGGGAGGCGGCAGUGGGGAAUAUUGGACAAUGGGCGCAAGCCUGAUCCAGCCAUACCGCGUGGGUGAAGAAGGCCUUCGGGUUGUAAAGCCCUUUUGUUGGGAAAGAAAAGCAGCAGGUUAAUACCCCGCUGUUCUGACGGUACCCAAAGAAUAAGCACCGGCUAACUUCGUG
rnacentral:rRNA from 1 species